GGCGGACGGGUGAGUAAUACUUAGGAAUCUGCCCAUUAGUGGGGGACAACUCGGGGAAACUCGAGCUAAUACCGCAUACGCCCUACGGAGGAAAGCGGGGGAUCUUCGGACCUCGCGCUAAUGGAUGAGCCUAAGUCGGAUUAGCUUGUUGGUGAGGUAAAGGCUCACCAAGGCGACGAUCCGUAGCUGGUCUGAGAGGACGAUCAGCCACACUGGGACUGAGACACGGCCCAG
rnacentral:rRNA from 1 species